UAUAUUCUCGUUAUUUUCAAUAUUUCCUAAUAAAAUAUAUAUGCUUCAACUGCUUAUAUGUACAUAAAAUUGUAUUAUAUAUUGUUAUCAAAACAUCAUAUAUUUAGCAUGCAAUUAUUUUUAAAACUUUUUAAAUAUGAAAAAUUCGUGUACAUAAUUUAUGUGGAGGAAGCGGGAAUAGCUAAACAUUCUUACUGUAUUUUCGUAUGCUUUAACCUGUUAAAUGUUGUAUUUGUCCUAUUCUUAUCGAAUUAAUUCCUUCAUGUCAUGCUAUAUGCUCAUGUUAACAUAGGAAGGCAUUAUAUUUGACCAUAUUUUACACCUUGCUAACGUUCAGUGUAAAAUAUCAAAGACUAUAAUGUCUACCAUGUUAAAAUGCGCAUUGAACAUGACAGUUGACAUGAAGUAUUUCUUUAUUGAUAUAAAUACUGUAAAUUCCGUUACAAAACGAGGGGUGUGCAUUUGAUAUUGGGACUAGAGGGGAAAUGGUAAAAAACGCGAUAUUUAUUUUUUCAAUUAGUUAAGAUAAGUUAAUUAUAAAUAUUAAUAAUACAAUCAUAGAUUCAAAAUGCAAAGCCUAUCACAUAGCAAUUUUUGCAAUAAAACACAUUGCAUAAAUAUCUAAAUUUACAGUCAUCCUUAUAGGAAGUACACCACUUAAU
rnacentral:lncRNA from 1 species